rnacentral:rRNA from 1 species
AUGACGAAUGGAGUCUGGGCCAUGGAUAUUGGACCUGAGCUCUCACCACAAUUGCUACAGGAAUACUUACUACUGUGGGAGCGGAUAGCGGGGAUCCAACUGGACCAAGACAGAGGCGACUCGGUGCGCUGGGCAUGGGAAGCAAAUGGAAUUUUCUCAACACAAUCGGCAUACAGUUCAAGAUUUUGGGGCCGUCAGACCACACCGGUAGCACAGUUCACAUGGAAGUCCAGGGGGGCGCUGAGAUGCAGAUUCUUUGCAUGGCUUGCCCUACGUAACAGAUGCUGGACAUCUGACUGA